UCUCUAGUUCCUAAAUCCAAGCCCUAGCCCUAGUUUUCCCGGGAAGGUGGUCCCGUGGAGCCCGACAUGUCCUCCCCGGUUGGGUCUGUGAGGGAAUUCUUGUCACGGCUCAGGUCAAGGUGAGGCCUCAGUGCUGCCUAGGCCCCCGUGGUGGCGGUGGCACUCAGGACCAGUCACUACAUCCCAAAUGUCCCUCUGGGAGGCCUGGCCUGUGAGGGACUGGGCUCCUUGGCUCCAGGCAGACCAAGAAGCACAGCACCAGGGAAGUGCAGGACCAGCGAGCAGGACCACCAAGCCAGGCACGACCACCGAGAAAUUCCCAGUUCUUCAUUACUAUUUCUUGUGACAGAAGAUCAGCUGCUAAAACCCAGGCAUCAACAAAGGGACAGCAAUGCCAUCGGAGGUUUUAACAGGAGGUAUAUAGAUGCUACCCUCUAAGUUAGAGUCAAUGUCAUCAGAGGGAUUCCCUUUACCCACUACAAAUAUGGCCAAUUUGAAAUACUCAAGGAGAUCCAGAGAAAGGACAGGAUCCAUGGUCCAUGUGGAGCUCUCCGUUUGUGAUCAUCUCCUUCUAACCAGCAUGGGAGCAGAACCAUCUCAUGCAGUUUCUCCUCUAAGGAAAAGGCCAUCUGAACAGGGAAGAGUACGUUGCAUGCUAAUGGUGCCUGGCCAGUGGAACUGUGAAUCUGCAGAGGCUGCAAGAUACUUCAGAAGUUUAAUGUACUGCAAAAUACUCUGUUUCAAGCCAGGAUGUUCUUCGUCAUGAAGAACACCAGACAGAAGGAGGAAUUAGCCACAGCCAUUUCUUCCUCGGAGCAAAAUGGCAUAAACAAAGCUGGAAUUGAAAUUUUAGCCCAUGGGAAGAAAUUAAACAUACCUUUAAUAGACUGAGAUGUUCAGGUUCUGUGGUGAUGACUGCCAGAGAAUUGGCUGUUUGAAAUAUACAAUAAAACGCAUACAAUCAUCACAGAUUAAACUCAUAAAAUGCCUCUAGAAGAAGGAAUUAAACUCAAGCUUAUAUAAUUCAAUUUAAUUUCAUCAUAGUUUGUGUUAUGUAGUCAUCUAGUUUACUGGAAUGUUCUUUAAAUUUUGUCCAAACAAAUUAAAAAAAAAUAAUUUAGUCAGUGAGGCUCCCACAUAUUCUCUGGGAGAUUAUUCCUCGUUGUUUGCCAGGCUGCUCUCCUCUCCUUCUCCCCACCUCCAAUUCAUCCUAAAAUGUUCUUAUUAUUCUUUUUGAAGCAGCUUUAAUUGAAAAUUCCUCUUAGUUCUUCCCCCAACCUUUCUUUCUUUAUCAGACAGCCAGAGGGCGAGGUGUAUUAAUAGCAGCUGCAUGACUCAGAGUUGGUAGCUCAAGUGGAUCCCUUUGCACUGAGCUUUGCUGUUUGGCCUCCCUGGCUGCGUCGCCACCACGCUCAGGGAGCACCUUCACUUUCUUGCAAAAAAAAAAAAUAAAUAAACUGCAAAAGCACAGAGGGGGCUGGGACCGCCUCAACCCCUCUGUCCUUCGGAAGAAUUCUCCUUACUGCCGUUUUCUUCUCCAUCCCCACUGGGAUUGUGUAGGAAAAAAUGAAAAUAUGUGUAUAAAAAAAAAAAAGAAAAAAAAGAGUGUGAUUCCACACUUAGCGGUGGCUAAAGCAACCCUCUUUACCAGGAACUGCCUUCCAAUAUCACAACCUCAAAACUUCUUACCCCUCUAAUUUUGCAUCUUGUAGAUGGAUACAUAUUCUCACUCUCUUUAUGGCUUCACCUAAUUUUCUGAGAACCAACUUUUUUUUUUUUCCUGGCAGCUCUCUUAUCAUCAAGCCCUGCAAUGCUCUCUACUGCAAUGGCAGAAAUAGCCAGACCAGAACUUUUUCUUGUUGUCUCUACAAACACUUUUACACCGUGAGUCUUUCCCCCGACCCGAGUGAUGAAAAGGGAGCGCGGGUGCCACCACCGAGAAGGAAGAGGGGAGCAAGGGCCAGCGCUCUCCGCUCAAGAGCCAC